AAUUCUCAAUCUCCUCUAUCUUUUGAGUUGAUUGGAUGUGGAGGUUUUGUGCGUUUUCUUUUUGAACCCACUCCUCUUAAAUGUAUUAGCUGGAACGCCUUGGCAAAUCCAACUAUCAGCGUGAUAAUUAUCAGUGCUGUGGUUGUUGCGUAAAGGGAAUCCGCUUCUCAACCGUCGCGAGACAAAUUUUUGAAUCA
rnacentral:misc_RNA from 1 species